AUGGCAUAUGAAAGAUUAUUAGAUUGGCUAAAAUAGUAAAUUCCCUCACCAUCGUCUUCUGAGAGCAUUGAAUCGCAUCCCUUCACCUCCACGUCCGGUUAAAUCUUUCAAUUCAAUGCCAUGAAUCAUAACCCUAACCCUUCGAUUUGCCAGCCGUUCCAACUGAAUCUGAUUUAACCCGUUGUCAAUCAAAGUCAGAUGCAAGCAAGGGUGUUCGAUUAGGGUUUCUUAUAGCUCAGGAGAUGAGGAUUAUGGGAGAUACACGGAGAUAGCACUCAAGUGACGAUACUCAGCCUAGGGCAAUUGAAGCCUAUCAGGAAGGUGAUGACAAUGUCGGUAUUGGAGCUUCGACUAUUUUCCGGUGACCGAAGGAUAGUUGAAGGUUGACAGCAUCAUUUCCCAAUUGGGUUUUUUGAACAAGAACAAUACCCUUCUUCUCCACGAUUCAGGUCUGGUAACUCAGACACAUUUCCGGUGUACCGAGCACUGGCAGAAGGUUAUUAAGAGGUCGGGGAUUUCAUGGUGGUUGGUAUGGGCAAAGUCGGCAAAGAAUUUUUCCGGCACCAGGGUUACAAGUUGUGAUUUCGAUAUGCAGAAGCAUUUGCGAGG
rnacentral:lncRNA from 1 species